rnacentral:tRNA from 1 species
GGGUAUCGCCAAGCGGUAAGGCACCGGAUUCUGAUUCCGGCAUUCCGAGGCACAUCACUCAUAAUGAUGGGGUCACAGGUUCGAAUCCCGUCGUAGCCACCA